GGGAGGGGUACUUUGGUUAAUUGGAUGGGAGAAGCCCUUUUAGGGCACUGUUCACAGAAACGAAAAAGGGGAGGCUGGGUUUGUGUGUUGGGAGGCUGCCGCCGCCAACAGGGGAAAAAGGUCUUCUUCCUCAUGCUCUCGCGACACCCUCGCCGUCGGCGCUGUCGGCCUCCACCACUCCUCCCUCUCCCUCUCUUUCUCUCCGACGCCAACAGAACCGAGAGGAAGAUCCUCUUCUUCGUCCUAUGCUCCUUGCCAGCGAUGCCAGCUGGCGACGGCUCUCCUCCUCUCGUCGUCGGUCGUCAUUUCCUCUUCCUCUCCAUCCUCUCAACGCCGCUCCUCUUCUUCUCAUCUCCUCUCGCUAGGGCCGCAUCAUCUCGUCGGAGCCUCCCCAGAGCCAUUCCCUUCUCCCUCUCGCGCCGCAGCAUUCACCUCCUAUACUCGCACACCGUCUUCCUCUCCCUUCCGACACUUGUAGCCACCUGCCACUAGCAUUUUCUCCUCCGAUUGCCGUUGGCCAGCGUGGUUGCAGCGUUGCCACAGCAGAAUCGUUCACUUCGUAACCCUCUCAGCCUGUUAGCCUCCUUCCAGCAGGUCACACAGUCGUGUCUCUCCCUCCUCAUGAUGCUGCUGGUCGAUACUGUCGCCACCGGCUGAUGCUGCUCAUGACCGGUCGACGCUGCUGGUCGACUGUUGGUUGCUACUCGGAAAGCCUAACGGUUCCACUGUACAAAAAUUUUUGUACAAAGGUUUAUACUUGGAUCUCCUGCGAAACUUAACACGUUUGAUCCAAAUCUACCUAUGUUAUUAAUUCCAUUAAACUUGGAUUGUCAGGUCCCCAUGACCACACUUCCUCCCCUCCUACAGGGUUUGUGACCUUCUUUAAGGACCAGCUCCUGGGUGGUCUCCGUUUUCCUAUUCAUCCAUUCUUUGCAUCUUUGAGUCAAUAUUUUGGUAUCUCUUUAUCUCAGUUUGCACCCAAUGCCUUCUGUACUAUGUGCGGAAUGGUGAUUUUGUGCCGCCUAUAUAAAACUCCUCUAACCCCGCAACUCUUCCAUCACUUCUAUGCUCUUAAGUGAUCCAAACCAGACGUUUUUAUGGUCAAAUCUAGGAUGGGCUAUAAGUUUUUUGCGGAUAUGCCCUCUUCCAAUAAGGGUUGGAAGUCUCACUUUUUUUACAUACAACUGCCUGAGCCUGUUACUUGGCCUGCGCGAUGGCGAUACAAUCUUCCUUCCCCCUCCAAAUUGUGAGAGCAUCAGCAUUAGCCUGACUACCUCCCCUCUUCCGAGAAGCUGGAAAAAGUUCAGCUCCAACUCUCGGAGAUACUGUGAGAGGGCCUCCUACAUGCUUUCGGGCUCAGCCCUAUCCCUGCAUCAAUAGGCGCUCCUUUUGGUAAGAUCUCCUAUCUUCCCUUCCACAUCUUCGCUAACUGAGGUAUCUCCUUGUGGUUUUAUAGAAGCUGCUAUGUUUUGUGCCUUCUCUGUUGACUCUUCCAAGCUACCCAAUGUUGUUCUGAAGGAGCUAGGAGAAGAACUCCUAAGAAAUUCUGGUGCACCCUCAACCAUUCAAGUUGGGGUCGCGGUCGGGUCUUCUUCCCAACUAUCCCAGGAAAGAGAAGCCCUAGAACCCGAGGCGACUGAAGAUGAAAAGGCUUCCUCUCCGCCCUCGGAAAACAUUUACGUUUGCAAUGCAAGAGGAAGCGAUUCAUCCCCUCAGUCCAAGCCUCUCUGCUGAGGGUGAUCCCACUCCAUAUACCGACUGUCACACCUCUUUGUUUUCUGACUGUCACGCCCCCUUGAUUUAUGACUGUCAUGCCCCAUUGACUUCUGACUGUCACACCCUCUUGACUUCUGACUGCCAUGCCCACUUGACUUCUAACUAUCACGUCCCCUUGACCCGACUCUACUACUAUGCAUCGUAUCAAUAAUUUUUCAACAUCAAUUGACAUUCAACUCCUGAGACAACCCUGCAUAGAUACACUUAUGUGAGUAAUUUUAACCGUAUCUAUCCACUAAGUGUUAUUAGGUACAAUAGUUAGGUUGACUUCUGAAGUGACAAAGUUCAGAAGUAUACCUUUCUUGAGAUACGAGUUGAUGUAUCUAGGGCAAUCCCCUUUCUUUUUACAAAAGAAACAAGAUAGGUCCGAAUCUUGUUGCUUUUGCACCUUAUGCCCUUAAGCCCUGUUAUUGCAAGUUGUUUAUCUCUACUCUUACUUUUAUCCCUUCUUUUUUUUCUUGUUCGAAUUUCGAGAUGAAGAUGUAAAGUGAGCACUAUUAGAUGUAUCAUACCUUAAUCUCUCUUCUUAUACAGACUGAGCUAUAAGCUCAUUUAGUAUCCACUUCUCCUUUUUAGUGUAGUGAAUUAUAGGCAGAGAGAUUAGGAUUAGGUUCACAAGUACUCUUUCGGACAUUUCCAACUUUAAUGUCUUAAGCUUUGUAACCAAAUUCGAGAUAUCGUUGAUGUACUUCCUAAUGUUACCCUUUCCUUUAUACCUCAUGGACACUAGCUUUGUAAGAAGUGUAGUACUCUCAAUCUUUUUGUUUGAGAUAAAUUGGUCACCUAAUUUCAUAAUGAAGGUUUUAACAUUGUCAUGCGAUCUGAUCUCUUCCACUUGUCAAAGAUUACCUUUUGAUCUUCAGUGGAAUCACUAGUCAAAGGUGCAGGACAAUUAUGCCUAAAUACAAAGUCUAAAUUUAUACAACCUAAUAAAACUAUAAUAUACUCUUUCCAUUGUCCAUAGUUUGUGCCAACAUGCACGAGGAUGUUCAAAUUAGCAGACAUUAAGAGGACUGCAUAUAUAAAAGCAAAGAACGUAACUCAAUUUACUAAACAAAACAUGUAUCUUUAUAGUUGUGCAAUAACAAAAUGCAACAAACAAAACAUGCAAUAUUAUGAGCAUUAAUUGAGUUACCUAGUGCAACAUUACAUUAAGUCUUUGGACUAAAUUGUAAUUUGCUAGUGAUACCCUCUAAACAGCUUAUAACUUCAUCCGCCACACGUUACGCUUUUCUUUGGACCAAUAUCGUGCGCAUGAUUAACUUUAUGUAUACGUCUCCUUUGUUUAUGUUUCCAACUACCACUUACAAUAUUCCUAAUCGACCACAUAGUGCGUCUUCCUUUGGGCCAACACAUUAUGCGCAUGUCUUAGAAGCUAAACUAGAUUUGUGAGCUUCCUUAAAUAUAUAUCCAACAUAAAGAAUGGUUUCUCUUUGGGUCAACCAUCUUUAGCAUGAAUAUACAUCUAAUAGUAUUGGCUCGACUAAGUAGAAGUGCGAAGAAAGAUAUAGGACAACAGCUGAAAACAUAGCUAAUCAGUUAUCAAUCGAUUGAUAUCCGCUACCAAUCGAUUGAUACUCUUAUCAAUUGAUUGCCUAUUUGCCUUCAAGACGCAAUCGAUUGACACACCUUAUGUGUCAAUUCCAAGACACGGUAAUGGCAAUCGAUUGUUCAACUGUCGGAAGGCUUCUGUACGCAAGUUCAUCUGCACCAAUCAAUUGACGCCUCACAACAAUCGAUUGAUGUUCACUAAUCAAUCCUACCGAUCGAUACGGAAACCUUCUAUGGACAACCCAGCAAAUAACAAUCGAUUGGUGUAAACCAAUCAAUCGACACAAUCGAUUCCGUGACCUUCUUUAUCUGACCCAGGCUCAACAAUCUAUUGGUGUUAACUAAUCGAUCGAUCCAAUCAAUUUGGAAACCUUCUGUGCUUGAUAACCUUCUGUGCUUGAUCCUAGGUUUACCAAUUGAUUGGUGAAUAAUUGAUCUACCCAAUCGAAUCUGGAUUGUUCUAUGUGUAAUUUUGGGCAUCACAAUUGAUUGGUGCUUAUGGCAAUCUAUUAGUACACACCAAUCUAUCUGCUCAGUCAAUUUGGGAGCGCCUUUCUCAUCAAUCGAUUGGUAGUUGAAAACUUGAUUUUUUGAAUGCAAUUUUUCAACUUAAAAAAAAAUCCUAAAAUCGUUGCGUCAAUCGCGUUCUCACGGAUAAUGUGAAAAACUCAAUCCAUAGGUUAAAUCCUAACCUAUACAAACUACAUUCAACGAAUAUGCAUCAAUCCAUGUUUCCACAAUGGAUUACAGAACAAUGCACACUUUCCAAUGAUAAGUUAAUUUUAAGCUCUGAUAUCAAUAGAAAGCAAUAGCGAUACAUCGAAAUUUAACUAUAUAAUGCAUCAAUAACAUGAUCUAGCUAUUAUUAACUUUUAAGGCUAAAAUUGAAAACCGAAACAAUGGCUACCAAUGGGCUAACCUUAAUCUAUCUCAAAAGUCAUUGAUCUUACUUAUCAUCAUAGUUGAUUCCUGCAAUGUAGUGGAAGUCUUUGUGCGGCAAUCUUCGCUUGGUUUCAACAUAUAAGAGUCCAAGGAAGAAGAAGCAACCAAAAACCCUUUUGAUUCAAGAUGCCCAACUCAAAGGAAACUUCUUCCUUAUAUACCAAGUCCAUCUUGCAGAGACCAUCCACCCUAAACUCCAUUCAUCAUUAACAGCCCAUUAAUGUUAAUGAACUGAGUUAACAGAUCAACACAUUGGAAUCCACAUUCAAUAAGCUAAACCUCCCUUCAUGUAUUGCACAUUAGAUCACUUAAUUGGGGUUUAAUUCUUUAAUAACAUAAUUGUUGUGUAUUGUGUUGAUCUUACUAGGAUGAGCAAGAACCGUUCUUUCCUCUAAUUGUGAUGGUUUCACCAGAAUUUAUGCUAAUAGAACAUUAUUAGAGAUACUCUUAUUAGUAAAAUAUGCUAGGAGAAGUUGGUUUUACAUUUUUGAGUUAUUUCUAUGUAAGUUUUGAUUCAAUUUAGUAUUUUGGUGUACUUGUUUUAUCUCUCAUCUACCAGUAGAGAGAAACUGUCAACUAGAUCAGAACUUAAACAUGUCUUUCUUUUGACCACUCUUAGUUGCAUGAUGAGUAUAGUUGCUACUCUCUAUAGUUAUGACAUAUAUCUAUUUCUACUGAUGUUAACCUACCUUUAUUGAUUUGAGUCAAUUCCAUUCCGUUUGAAAUCCUCAUCUACUUGUAAGUUUGUAACUUCUAGUUCCUGCACAUUUAUCCAUUACGUUCUCCUGCAAGACUAUCAACAAGGCUUCCACUUAUUGUUUUGUCCAUAUCAUUACAUUCUCCUGCAAGGCUUCCACUUAUUGUUCUAAGCAUUUUCCUUUCAACUUAAUUAAUUGUGCAGAAAAUUAAAGGUGGCUAAUGAUUGAUUCCAUUACUUUUAAUCUUGCUUAGAACAUCACCGUGAGUUGUAUACGUACAUACCUGAAGGUAAGGUGUACGUCAUUUUACAAUUCAAUCAGAUAUAUAUGUUCCUUGUUGUCUUAUAAAAUCAGAUAUUAGAUAUAGAUUAUAAAACAAACCAACUUGAAGGUCUCGAAGAGGUCAUCGCACGCCUCAACGUGGCAUUAGAGAAGAAGAAAAAGGAGAUUGCAGAGUUCGAGUUGAAGUAUAAUAUUAAGAUAAGAAAGGCAGAUAGUGAGACCAAGGAGGAUACUAGCCAGAAAGAAGGCUCCGCACAGGGGGUUCUUGUAGGUCCUGCAAGCUGAGUAGAAGGAAGAGCUGGGAAGAAAUAAGUUAACGAUCAGGUUAUGCAGGUGCUAUAAUGCUAGUGGUGUUUAGUAUUGGCAUGCAGGUCUUCUCUGUUUUAGUUGUCUGAUCAGUAAAGAACUAGAAACCAAUGGGAUUCUUGAGCUGUGGAAGUAGAAUUCUUCUCUGUUUUA